rnacentral:rRNA from 1 species
CAGAUUGAACGCUGGCGGCAGGCUUAACACAUGCAAGUCGAACGAUGAUUAUCUAGCUUGCUAGAGAUGAUUAGUGGCGGACGGGUGAGUAACAUUUAGGAAUCUACCUAGUAGUGGGGGAUAGCUCGGGGAAACUCGAAUUAAUACCGCAUACGACCUACGGGUGAAAGGGGGCGCAAGCUCUUGCUAUUAGAUGAGCCUAAAUCAGAUUAGCUAGUUGGUGGGGUAAAGGCCCACCAAGGCGACGAUCUGUAACUGGUCUGAGAGGAUGAUCAGUCACACCGGAACUGAGACACGGUCCGGAC